rnacentral:rRNA from 1 species
ACUCCUACGGGAGGCAGCAGUGGGGAAUAUUGCACAAUGGGCGCAAGCCUGAUGCAGCCAUGCCGCGUGUAUGAAGAAGGCCUUCGGGUUGUAAAGUACUUUCAGCAGUGAGGAAGGCGGGUACGUUAAUAGCGUGCUUGUUUGACGUUAGCUGCAGAAGAAGCACCGGCUAACUCCGUGCCAGCAGCCGCGGUAAUACGGAGGGUGCGAGCGUUAAUCGGAAUUACUGGGCGUAAAGCGCAUGCAGGUGGUUUGUUAAGUCAGAUGUAGAAAGACCCGGGGCUCAACCUCGGAAUUGACAUUUAGAAACUGGACAGAACUAGAAGUACUGUAGAGGGGGGUAGAAUUUCAGGUGUAGACGGUGAAAU